CGUUAACAAAGCCCAAUCUGAACUUUCCUCUCAUCAGCGUCGGCGUUUGAGUUUUGGGCUCAGCCCGUCUAACAGCAAGCAAUGGUCAGACGGUCUGACCCAAUACUUUCACUAAAUGGAAUUAUAGUGAAGAUCUUGAUAGUGGUUUGUGAAAAAAAUGAAAACAAACUUGCAAUUGAUGUCCCAAUGAACAAAUGAGAAAGCCCAAUAAAUAAAAGAGAUGAACAAGACCGACAUCUAGAAAAAAACCAGGUAUUGUUCAUUGUACUGUAAGUAUAUGUUCAUUGUAUUAUUAUAAUAUAGUCAUUGCUUCGUGUUGGUCAUAUAUUUAUUAUAUUUAGCCAUAUGGUUAUUAUGUUUUCGUUCAGAUGUUAGGUACAAUUGUUCAUAUCUUAAUUGUGUGUUUGACAUAUAUUAAUUGCAUUAAUAACAUGAAUUAUGACAUAUGUUCAUUGUCUUGUUAUCACAUGUUCACUGAAACACAUGUUGGUCAGAUGUUUAUUGCAUUUCAGUCAUAUGUUCAUUAUGUGUUUGUAAUAUAUUCAAGGAAAUAUUCACAAGACAUGAAUCAACUAUAUAUUACCCAUUUUCGUUUUUAAGUCCCAACUAUGGAUUAUUCCCUACAGAUCCCAAGUUUACUAUCUUGUGAUUUUCAUAAGUUCUGAGUAGUGAUGGCCAUUGGUGCAGGCUAGGCGGGCUGGGCUAAGAUUUCAAGGCCCAAGACCGGACCGUGAAAUUCAUGGGUUGGGCGGGCUGGUUCGCGGGCUGAAAAAUCUUGACCCACACUGGUCUGUUACCGAUUUUCACGGUUCAGGAAGCAGCUCUGGCAGUUCGUGGGUCUAGUGGGUUGGACCGAGCUGGCGGGCCGGCAUGAGAAUUUAUUUUUCAAAAUUAUUUAAUCAUUGAAAUUAUUCAUUAUUGUUACAUAAAAUCUUUAAAAUGAAUUAAAAUAUAUGCAAUUAUUAAUAUUAAUGAAUAAUUCUAUUAUUUUGAAAUUUGAUUGAAUUAUAAUAUAUGCAAUUUGUUUAAAAUAAAUGUAAUUUGAUUAAAAUAUACACAAUUUGGUUCAAUAUUUACUUGGACUGGGCUAGUCCAGUUCAUGGGCCGGACUGGACCGGUUUUGUGGUCCGAGCUGGGCGGUUUUAGUAGCUGACUUUAGUGAGCUGAGCUCAAGAAAUCUGGCCCACGACCCACCCACCAAUCUCACGGUUCGAGCUGGGCUGUACCGGGCUUUUUGUGGGCCCGGCCCACACGACCCACGAGGUGGGCUGGAUGGGCUGGAUUGACCCGCACUGUUGGCCAUCUUUAGUCCUGAGUAACUUAUAACCGGUUUAGAAGAUAAUAUUUUCAAAUGUUGGUCCCAAUUUAUAGAUCUUUAUCACUUGCUUAAAGUGUUCGAAGAUGGUAAAUGUUUAAAAUCUUACCUUCUAAACAGGUUAUACAUAACUCGAGACCUAUGAAAAUUACAAUAUGGUAAACUUGGGACUUGCAGGUAACAAUAAAUAGUUGGGACUUAUAAAAUAAAAUGGGUAAUAGUUGGGUCCCCUUUUGUGAUUUUUUCCUAGAUUCAAUGAAAUGAUAGGAAUUAAUGAUGGGUUGAUUAUCAUAUAUUUGUCUAUAAAUGUGUGAUAUUUGUUCAAACUUUGUAUGAUUAUGUGAUGUUUAUUAUACUAUUUACAAAUACAAGGUACAUAUUUUAAGGCUGAUGUUCAUUGUAUUACUAACAUGUUCAUUUUAAUUAGUCACAUGCUCGUUAUAUUUGGUCAUAUAUUUAUUGUGUGUGGGAGCAUGUUCAUUCUAUUCUUAGAAUGUGUUGGUUGUAUCUUUGAAAGAUUAUGUUAAUUGUAUUAUAAACUUGAAUAAAUUUGUUUUAGUUAACCACUGCUCUUUCCUUUCUCGUAUCAGUUCAAUCCACUAGUUUAGACAACUAAUGAUACGUUACGGUGUCGAGAUCUCACAAAUCAAAUCAAUCGGAAAUGGAAGGAAGCUUAGAAGCACAAAAAUCUUCUUAAUAAAAUCAAUAGUGUUUAAUUAAAAAGUACCAAGGAUGUUUCAGCCUAGUGGUUAAGGUUGAGGUGCUGUGAACAAUAGGUCACAAGUUCGAAUCCCCCCCUUCUUUGUACCGCCUCUGUGGCUUAUAUGGAUAAAAAAAACAUGUUCUUUUGUAAAACCCUGGUAUUCAUAUGUUAUAUAUUUUAUUAUUUUGCUUGUA